rnacentral:lncRNA from 1 species
GCCUGUUUCUUGGUGAGGAUGUUUGGCGGCAUAGUGAUGCAGUGGUGGUGAUACGCGGUGGUGAUGCAGUGCUGGUGGAGGUUAUUCAGUUGUUGUGGUGGUGGUGAUGAUGUGUGGUGGUGGUUGGCGUUGCUUAGGUGAGGAUGUAGGUGGUUGUUAUGGGUGAUUUCCUUUAGAAGCAACCUCUGUUACACGGGUCCAUGUUUGUCGUUACUAGCUCUUGUUUGUGCUUUUUGGGUAGUUUAGGUGUUUACGAAGUUUGGAGGGUGCGUGUCACGUUGUGUUGAGCCUUUUCCUUUUGAUUUGUUUAUUGUUCAAACUUCGCAUGC